AUAUUUAACAUAUCAAUUGUAACACUUAUGCCAAAUAUAUAUGCUGCGCUUGAGAUUUAUUUUAUUUUUCGUAGAAUGUAUUCUUUUUCAUUUGAUAUAAUAAAAACUGUGCGUAGAGAUUAAAAAUCAAUUGGUUGAAUAACAGAAGUUCUGAAUAUCGUUACUCUACGUACGUAUGCAUAAAAGUGAAUGAAAUGGACAACAACAAUAUUAUCAAAAUACAAUCGCUACUCUGUAUAUGGAGUAAUCAUUGGCAACCAGCAAAAUGUCUUAAUCUCUUCAGAUGAAGACUAAAUAUAAUAAAAUGUUGGUUUUAGCAUGAUAAUGAUUAUAAUAAAAUGCUUAUUUUUGGUAUGAUAAUGAUAAUGGUGAUUUCAUUAUUAUGCGCGGCCAAUAAUAUGCAAUCAAGUUGACAAGCAUGUUGUUGCACAGUGAAAGAACAUGCAUACUCAAAAUAUUUUGCAUAUGUUGAAUAUGCAAAAUAUACACGCUGUACUUGAGAUUCAUUUUAUUUUCCUUAAAAUAUAAUCUCUUUAAUUUGAUAUCAUGUUUGUAUUUUGUGUUAGAGAUAUAAUCAGUUGGUUAGAUGACUGGAGCUCUGAAUAUGGUUACUCUACGUAUGCAUCAAAGUGAAUGGAAUGGACACUAGUUAUGAUGAGUAUGAUUGGUACACAUGAGAGGGAUUGAGAGUAAAUUAAAUGAUGAAAAUGGGAGUAGUAAAUUUAUUAGCGCAAGUGAGAGAAAAAGAUAAUAUAAAUAAAAGAGAAAAUGAAAAAAGUUUGAUUUAUGCUGUAUUAUCACUGAGAUAACAUAGUGGUAUAUUUACUUUUAUCUAAACAGUAUUCAGCGUAAAAGUGAUGAAAUUUGUUUCCACCUAACUGAUAAUUUAUCAGCAGAACUUAGAGUAAAACAUUUGAAAAAAAAAAAAAAAACUUAGAGUAAAACAUUUUUCCACUAAAAAUUUAUCGCCACCAGUGCAAUACAGUCACACCCAAUAUAAAACUACAAUCGAUACUCUGUAUAUGGAGUAAUUAUUCUCAACCACCAAAUUGUCUUACCCCCUCGGUAUCUUAUACUAUAAAAAAGAACAAACUCUCUUCUCGGCCUUCCACGUCACUAAAUAGGUAAACAACAGAGUGACACGUGUCCAGAUAACCAAAUUUCUGCGUUUUAUUUGCGAAAUGCAAAAUGGGCUUCGAGCCAAUCUAUUCUUUGUUUCUUCUUUCGCUUCCUCUCCCUCUCCAUGACAAAUCAUCACCGGUCACAAAUUUUUUAAUGCUUCUUCAAUUUACUAACGACACUAAAUCGACACCUCUUUACCUUUCCUUUCCCACCCCAUCCUCGAUAUAUAACAGUGGAUAGGUUCAAGUCAGAUGGAAUCCUCACAACCGGUCCUUAAUUUCAAGACACCAAGUCUCCACGGCCUCUGAUCGCCGUUAAGCCAUUGUUCCUCCGGUGGAGGUAAUUUACAAAUCGCUUCUCUUAUUUAGUAGUUUCUAAACUAAAUCUAACCAGCAUCGAAAUAAGGUUUUACAUUACUCUGGUUCAACAAGUCAAACCAUAGGGACGAUCUCUUAUGAUUUCAUUUGGUUUACAGGAUUAGUCAUAAACGAAGGUAUCUCGAAUGCAAAGCUUUCUUCACGGAAACCCCUUCCAAGCACGAAGCCAUCCACGAUUCUGAUGUUACGCAGUCGGCGGCAUUGAUCUCGCAUGGCUCUGUAGAUGUCAAAUGUACGAUUUUACUUCUUCCUGCUUAUAUUUGCAUGUUUGCUUCUCUCCCUCUGACUUCUCAUGGGAUUAUAUGCCUGACACUAGCCAAGUUUUUCCCACAGCAGGUCACCACCUGCUGACUUAUGUAGCUGACCAACGUUGCCGGUGCAGCUAUACACGGUUCGUUCGAGUUUGGAUCGGACGCUUUUGAAAAGCUUUUAAAAAGGUUACAACAUUCAAAGUGUCAAAUUACAAUUCUCUUUGAUAUUUUCAUUUCCAUGGACAUUUGCUUGAUUUCUCUUUAUUUGCUUCUUCGGUAACAACAAAAGGAAAGUGGGUGAGAAGAAGGCACAUACCACCAUGAGACGUACGCGUAGGCGCCUGGCAACUCAACCAAGGCAAAUCGGACAAGGGAUGUACAAUAGCGUGUUCGGUGCAUGAGAGCCUGAAACAUGAAGAAUAGUGGCUUCCAAGAAGGCUAGGUUCGACAAUUUUAAGCCAGAUAGUGUUUGAUCCAUUCACAAGACUGUGUGUGAUCAUCCCAACAUUAUCAAACUACAAGGUUUGGUUACUUCAAAUCUAUCUUAUGUAAAAUGAAAAUCAGAUCUUCGUAAGAGGAAAAUGAACUAUCUGAGGUACGAGAGAUGUUAGUUUUGUAAGUUUUUCUCUUUAAUCAAAAGCUAAUGGUAGGACCUUUGCAUUUGGGGAAUUCAAGUAUAUCCAGAGGGAAAGGUCUUAAGAAGAAUGAAUGAGGAAGUUACAUGUUUUGUGAGUCAUAAUAUUCUGGCAUGAAUAAGGGUAACGUUCUCACAUGUUUCGCUCACUACUCUCUGACUUCCUUUUUCUUGAUUAGAAACCGACAAAAUUGGAUUUCUGGAAAGGGGUUCGAGGAGACGCAGACAAGAUGCAGAUGCUCAUGUGUGUGAAACUAAAAGCAGAAGUAUGUGCAUGUGCCCGUGCCAGGAAGGGAUUUGUGCAUAUAAGUAUCGGGUUUGUUCUUUUGCAAAAUGUCUAACAUAGCGGAGAAGAGAUCAUGGAAAGAGUUGGAUUUGGUGGAUGACGGUGAAAAGGGUUGUGUAAAGUUGAAAUCAUUUUGGUUGGGGAAAAGAAACAAGAGGGAAAGAAGUUUUGUGUGUAUGGUCCAAACUCCAAAGCUAUUGUAAUUUGUAUGUUAUUCUUACACCCAGAAAAUUUAAAAACUUGAAAAGAAACACGAUGAAAAUUUUAUUUUAUUGUAACGCAAGAAUAAUAAUAUUGGUAAAUAAUAAUUUUCUUUUGUUACGACAUAGGAGCACCGACAAACAUGUCUUAUUAGCAAAAUGAUUUUCAACAAUAAAAUUAUUUUUGUUACGUUACACUUCUUGGUCUACAACUGCAUUCUGGAUUUUUCUAAAGAUAUAUCUACACACAUUUUGGUGAAUACCAUAGCUAUUACAUAAGAGGUGUAAAAUUGUGAAUUUGUAACAAAAAUAGAAAGCUAUUUCGACAUGAUAAUAACCUGAAAGUAUUGAUCUCACCAUCUGAUGAAAAUAUCAUUACAUUCUCAUGCAAGAGUAUAUUGAUGGAGUUUGUAUUGCCUAACUGUUCAGAGCUUAGAAACUACCUUUACUACUUUUUUAUACAAGGCACUAAUCAUCUAUUGGAAAUUUUCUAGCUGAAUAUAUUAAUAAAAAGAUAAACGAUAAUUUAUUAGUUGUGUAAUUAGAAGAUAUAGAAAAUAAUAUAUACUUAAAGGAAAAUAUUAUAUUUUCAAAAGUCAACUACAUAAAUAUUGAAGACUUCAAAGUUCAAAUACAUUAUUCACAAUUCAUAAAAAGAAUUCAAGAAUCAAAAAGGUGGCUUAUAUAAAAAAAAAGUUACUAAAAUUUAUGCAACAAACUAUUCCAAAUUAAUUUAUUUCUGUAAUAUAUAUAUAGUAAAACUUAAUCACAAAAUUAAAAUACUAAAAUAUAUAAUUCCUAAGCAUAUAAAUUCAAACAUAAGAUUUUACAAAGUAAUUAAAAUAAAAAUUUACUUUUAAUUUUAAUUUUAAAGAUAUAAUACGUGCAUAGCGCGGAGACAAACCUAGAUCUUAACUACGAGUAUUUGGAGAAAUCUUAAUCUACGAGUACAAAAAAAAUUAAGUACAUCGCCUGAAUAAAAAAAAAUUAUAUCAUUUCAACAAUCACAACAAUAUAAUUAUGCUAUUUUGGUCAACAACAACUAAUUCAGCUCUCAAUAUCAUAAAAUGUUAUAUAAACAAAGAUUAAAUGUAAAUAAUUUUUCACAAAAACAGAAACUAUUCUUUUGAAACUAAAAAAAUGUUGAUCUAAACCCUUAAUUACGUCAAAAUCCCGCGCGAAGCGCGAGCUUGUCUUAGUAGUUUAUAUAGAAGAGUCAUUCAGAUAGUAUAAAUUAGAGUGAGUUAUUACACAAAUUUUGUCUUUUCUUCGCCUUUUAAGACACUUUCUGCAUGAGACAUACAUUUUCCUUUCCCAAUACAAGUUUAUGCCCAUUUUGCCUUUGUCCGUGAAGAAGAUUGUUGUGCUUUUGGUUGAGAAACAGAGAGUUGGUUAUUUAUAUUUUACUAGUUUAGUUUAACAAUUUAUUUAGAAUAUGUACAAUGGGGGUGUUGAGUAAAAGAUUCAACAGUUGAAUCUUUACAAUAAGUGUUGAAAAUGAAAUUUGAUGAUGUGAAUUAAUUGGUGUUGAAAAGAUUUAACAUGUUGAACAAGAAGAAAGUAGGAGACCACCGACGAAACAAUCACUUUCUAAAGAUUUUUGAUAUUUUGAUAUUGUCUUAGUUAUUUAAAAGCCAAUUAAUCUCGUUAUAAAUUAAAUAAUUUAUUUUUAUUUUUUAUACUAAAAUUUAUCAUUUUAAAUUAUCUAUAAAUAGAGACUAGGUUUAUUUAAUUUGGAUAUAGAAAAAAAUAAUUAUUAACUAAUAAAAUAGAGUAUUGAAUUUUAUUCAACAAGAUCAUUGUAGUGGAUAAAAGUUGAAUGUGUGUUGAAUGAUGAUGUGGAAUAAAGAGAAGAUGACAUUGAGUGUUAAAAGAUAAAGUGGAAGGUAUUGAAUCUUGAAACUAUUGUAUAUAGUCGUGGUAAAUUUAUGGGUUUGUGAGAUUUAAUAUAGACCACAUGUUUAUAAAAUAUGUUCAUUGUGGGGCCACAAUGCCAUUCUCCACAAAUUAACAUGAUAGCAUAUGUUCUUAUAAAAUAACAAGACGAAGAUUGUGUUGGCUUCUGCCAGUUUAUAUUUUAAUUUUCACUGGAUCUCAUAUAUGAUUUUGUUAAAGCAAUAUUUGUUUGUCUUUAUAUGUUUCUCCUAUCCACAAAUUGACUAUCCAUGGCAUUCAUUUCCAAGAACUGCACGUCCACGAUUCGCAUGUCCACGUUUAAAUAUCCACAAUAUGCAACAAUCUCGUUUGACUCCAACAAACUCAUCAAAUUUCAUCAGUGUAAGCUUGAUGUUAUCAUUUAUUAAUUUUGGUAGUUUUAGUCGAUGAAUACAAAGAAUUAUUUUAUGUUCCAGAAAAACAAAUCAUCCAUGAUGAAACCAUAAACAACACAACCAUCCACGAUGCUUCAAUCCAUAAUGCAUCUGUCCAAAAUGCUCCCAUCCACGAUGUUUACGUCCAAAGUAAAUCCAUCCACGAUGAACUUGUGUGAAGCUGAACCUGGAAGAUGAUGAUCUUCUUACUCCUCCACGCUGAACCAUGAUGUUCACGUCAAAAGUAAAUCCAAUGACUAAAGCUCCAACCACCUCAAAUAGCAUAGAAACUUUGCUUCAUCUUCGGUCCCCACGUCUCUGGAGAUGGAUCCGGAGGAGAACAACCAGUUGGGUUUCUUAUUUCUUGGGCUUGAGC